UACAUGGGGUGCAAACGUUGCUCGGAAUCAUUGGGCGUAAAGCGCGCGUAGGCGGUUACUUAAGUUGGAUGUGAAAGCCCUCGGCUUAACCGAGGAAGUGCAUCCAAAACUGAGUAGCUAGAGUACGAAAGAGGGUCGCGGAAUUCCCGGUGUAGAGGUGAAAUUCGUAGAUAUCGGGAGGAACACCAGUGGCGAAGGCGGCUAUCUGGACUGACACUGACGCUGAGGCGCGAAAGCGUGGGUAGCAAACAGG
rnacentral:rRNA from 1 species